UGUGACACAGCCUGGGAUCGAACCCCAGGCUGUAGUGACCCCGCAACUGCGAUUCAGUGCCUUAGACCGCUGCGCACUCGGGAGGCCUAUUGACGUGUUUUUUACGCAAAAAAACCAAACUCAGCGAAACUCGAGCACCUUUGUGGGCCGGUUUGGGGUGCAAUAUGAGUGUUCUUUCAUCUAAACAAUUUUAAAUGAUUUGUCAAAUGUAGACGACAACUUGACUUGUUUAAUUUUGUGGUGACUGACACUUUGGACUGUGCCUGUUUGUCAUUCAUAAUUACUUCCUCCUAUAUAUUAUGGCCUGCCCAAGUGCGCUGGCGCUCUUUGCUUCCCAAAGGAAAAACCCAGUAAUGGUGAAUCCUGCCUCAGUGUGCUCCUGUGUUUCCAUGGUGAUGGUGUCAGGCCAGGCAUGCCUAACGUCGACCUAUGGCGAGAAUGACAACAAGGUGUUCCACCAUCACAACAACCCUGAAGUGAGGUUUGUGCUGAGCCGGAUGGUGAAGGGGGGCCAAUGCCACAAUACUGUUGCUCUGUAUCGUCAGCCUGGUCCUCUCCUCUCUCAUCACCUUUGUAGGCUGUCAUAGUUUGCCCCCUCUGUGGCUGCUACGACAGCUUCACGGGCCUGGUAAGGACUAGACAUGUGCCGUGUUUUCAGACUGUGCGUGUUUCAGGAGAUACUAGUCCCUCAGAAUGACCCCAGCCCACAGACAGCGCUUGUGUGUACAUGGAAAGGUAAGUUAUCUAGGUGGGUGAAGGAAAGCUAGGUAGGUGGUUGAGCUCUGGCCACUCUUAGGCUGAAAUUUUGCUAUGUUGAGACACUUGCUUGGUAUUGUCUGUAGUGAUGCCGUUGCUUCCUCUCCCAGCAGGUGGCGAUAAGUGUUUAACUCUCCAGUGACAGAUGUCCUGAGGAAGAGGAGGCACCCUGCAAACUCCCUCCCUACAGCAGACUCACCUGAGGGGAAUCUUCUAGGGCAGUUGUUAGCUAACCUCCUUGUGUACCUAACCUGCUUGUGAAAUGGGACUUCUGGAGGGAAAACCACCAUGUGACACCUUUGGCCAUUGUUCUAAUGUUUGAGUGAUCUGGAUGAAAACAAGCUGACCCGGUCAUAGAGGACUGAUCUGUUGUAGUGAGUAGCUAUAUUGUCUACUAGCAUUUAAUCCAACGGAGAACCAAGAGGCAGAAUAACAGAUGCAAUGUACUAAACAUUUUGUGGUCCUCUGUAGCUCAGCUGGUAGAGCACGGCGCUUGUAACGCCAAGGUAGUGGGUUCGAUCCCCGGG